rnacentral:rRNA from 1 species
GUGGGGAAUAUUGCACAAUGGGGGAAACCCUGAUGCAGCGACGCCGCGUGAGUGAAGAAGUAUUUCGGUACGUAAAGCUCUAUCAGCAAGGAAGAAAAUGACGGUACUUGACUAAGAAGCCCCGGCUAACUACGUGCCAGCAGCCGCGGUAAUACGUAGGGGGCAAGCGUUAUCCGGAUUUACUGGGUGUAAAGGGAGCGUAGACGGUAAGGUAAGUCAGAUGUGAAAGCCCGGGGCUCAACCCCGGGACUGCAUUUGAAACUAUCAGACUAGAGUGCAGGAGAGGUAAGUGGAAUUCCUAGUGUAGCGGUGAAAUGCGUAGAUAUUAGGAGGAACACCAGUGGCGAAGGCGGCUUACUGGACUGUAACUGACGUUGAGGCUCGAAAGCGUGGGGAGCAAACAGGAUUAGAAACCCGGGUAGUCC